UACGGGGGGGGCAAGCGUUGUUCGGAAUUACUGGGCGUAAAGGGUUCGUAGGUGGUCAACUAAGUCAUACGUGAAAUCCCUCAGCUUAACUGGGGAACUGCGUCUGAUACUGGUUGACUUGAGUGCAGGAGAGGAACGCGGAAUUCCAGGUGUAGCGGUGAAAUGCGUAGAUAUCUGGAGGAACACCGGUGGCGAAGGCGGCGUUCUGGACUGUAACUGACACUGAGGAACGAAAGCCAGGGGAGCAAAC
rnacentral:rRNA from 1 species